CAUGUCAUUAGCCGUGUGUCUUUAACCUGCUGAGCCAUCUUGAUGACCAAAAUCUCAGUAAACUUCAACUCUGUUUCAAUCUGUCUGGCCCUGGAAUUCUUUGCUGCAAUGAAAUCAAGAAUCCUGUUGUCACUUGAAUGGAGGUCUCUGGAAAGAAGUGCCCAGUGCUUGGGCUGCUGCAGGUGGCAGAGUGGAGCUGUGUCUCUAGCCCACACCUCACUGCUGGUGGCAAAAGCCCGUGUGUAAAGAAGCAGAGCUUUAGGUGUCCCCAAACUCUUCAAGAUGACUGACCAUGGGGAUAUCUCUGCAAUUCAUGGAUGGAAAGAGCCCAGGAAGCUACUGGAGAAGAGCAAGUUGCCCUAGACCAAUCACUGUGGCUGUCCUAUCUUCGGGAGAAGCCCUCACUGGUGUCCCAGCCCCCAGUCUCCUCUUCUAGAAGUCUUUGUGUUAUGUCUGCUAUGAGCCACAAGCUGCAUGUCAUGGCUUGGUUCCAUGGGGUGUCCCAAUGAAAAAUACAGACUUCCCAAGGCUGAAAAUUGAC